GGAGUUUGCACUCUAGACAGCAAAGGAAAAGUGUGCGACAUAGCGUAGCAGAUGAUGGCAAGUGUCAUAGAGACAGAGCGGCAAGGAAAGGGGACAUGGGCAAAAAGAAAUUUUUUUUGAGUCGGAGUCUUGGUCUGUUACCCAGGCUGGACUGCAAUGAUGUGGUCUCGAUUCACUGCAACCUCUGUCUCCCGGGUUCAAGCAGUCCUCCUGUCUCAGCCUCCCGGGUAGCUGGGAUUACAGGAGCCCACUACCACGCCCAGCUAAUUUUUGCAUUUUUAGUAGAGAUGGGGUUUCACCAUGUUGGCCAGGCUGGUCUCAAACUCCUAAUAUCAUGAUCCACCUACCUCGGCCUCCCAAAGUGUUGGGAUUACAGGUGUGGGCCACUGUGCUCGGCCACAAAAAGCAAUUUUAAAUAGGAUGAUCAGGGAAAGUCUCAUUGAGAAGGUGACAUUUGCUCGAAAAUCUGGGGAUAAGGGAGAGCACCCAAACACAUAUCCGAGGUAGAACGUAACUGGUCUGCUCUUAUUUAGCCAGGAUGUCACUAUGGAAAGAGCAGAGUGGGAAGGCAGAGAGAAGUAGGAUGAGGUUGGAGAUAGAAACAGAGACCCAGGUUACACAGGUCCUUAUGGGCUUUUGGAAAGACAUAGGCUUUUAUUCUGAGUAACACGGGAAGGAGUGACAUUAUCUGAUUUGUAUUUUAGCAGGUUGCCCUGGUUACUGGGUUGAGAAUAAAUGUAGAGAGUCAAGGCUGGAAUUAAAGGGACCAGUUUGGAAGAAAAAAAUCCAGGAGACAGAUGAUGGCGGCCUGAACUAGGAUGGUAGCAGUGGAGGUGGUGAGAAGUGGCUGGUUUUUGGAUGUAUUAUGAAGGAGGAAGAGACAACAUUUGAUAAUAGAUGAGAUGCAGAGUGAAAGGGAAAUAUUCCUCAAGGGUGAUACUAAGGUUUCGACCUGAACAAUGGAACAGCAGUGGAGCUGGCUCUCGGUGGUUAAGCUGCCCUGCCUUUCCCACCUUCCCUAUGUUGUGGCGCGCCUUUGUGUCUACGUUCUCCCCACAGGCUUGUGAGCAGAAGUCAUCCAUGCCCCCAUCAGGCCAGCGCAUAUAUCUUCUCCACUUGCUCCUCCACACUCUUCUCCUGCUUCCUACUGGUGAGAAUGGUGACCAGCAGAGCCACUCAGAAAGCCACAUGCUGAAGACAGAAGAGCUGCCAUCAGCCUGGGUCCCUGGCUAAUGGUGGGAGGAUGGACUCCGGCCAGAGUAAGGCCUCUCCAUACUUUCAUGCAAGAGAAACGUCAACCUGUAUACCAGUCAAGCCUCUGAGCUGUUACUUACUAAACAUACUUUCUUUUAAUGCACGGGGUUAACUGGUUUAACAUAUCCAAAGAAUAGUGGCCAAUGCUUCAACAUCAGCCUGGAAGGGGAACACGAGCAGCAUGGCGCAGGGCUCUGUUUUGAUGCUGACACACGUCAUAUAAGCAAUAGCUCAGGCAAGGCUGUGGAAGAUGUACUUCUCAGAUUUAAAAAUGACACUAUGCCGUGAGGGAUAGCUGGUCAAAUUUUAAAAGAUUUCAACAAGUUAAAAAUAACAAGUGAUAUUUCCUAAGCAUUGAAUGUAAGCCAGGCUCUGGGUUAAAUGCUUUCCAAACAUGAUCUUGUUUAAUACUUAUGAUGAUCCUACAAUGUAGAAAUGUUACCUCCCUUUCCGAGAUGGGAAAACAGAAAUGUCAAGAGAUUAAGUAAGGAACUGGUAAAUGAUAGCACCGGGAUUUCAACCUGGAGCCUGUGGUUCUAACCACUUUGCUUAGAGUGGUCCUGGGUGUAGGUUUGUUUGGGAAGCCCUGGUUGUGUAAUAUUGUCUCAAAAUAAUUGUUAAUAGUAACAAUAACACCUGCUUUCAGUGUUAAAAUGGCCACAACUUAUAUGAUAAAUUAUAGGAUCACUUUAGUGAUUCUGCGCAGUCUAAACCCUGUAAGAUAAAAUUCAAGAGAAAUCACUAUAGAGCUCCAUACAUCAAAUGUUCAAUUAUGGAAAAUCCAAUGGAGGGGGUUUGUUUUCUCUAAGAUUACAUAGAGCUAAAAGUAUGAUAAGACUGUAAAAAUGGCACUGGAAAUUUACAUAUCGUCAUUAACAGGUGUGGUGAGCCCAGAACCAGGUACAGGAUGGUUCUGUUGUGCUUGGUGCCAGACAGGCUACAUCUAGACUGUUGGUAUCCUUUCAAGGAACCGUAUUUU
rnacentral:lncRNA from 13 species